AUUGAACGCUGGCGGCGUGCCUAACACAUGCAAGUCGAGCGAUGAAAUCCCUUCGGGGAUGGAUUAGCGGCGGACGGGUGAGUAACACGUGGGUAACCUGCCUCAAAGUGGGGGAUAGCCUUCCGAAAGGAAGAUUAAUACCGCAUAACAUCAGCUUAUCGCAGGGUAGACUGAUCAAAGGAGCAAUCCGCUAUAAGAUGGGCACGCGUCGCAUUAGCUAGUUGGUGAGGUAACGGUUCACCAAGGCGACGAUGCGUAGCCGACCUGAGAGGGUGAUCGGCCAAGAUAGGACUGAGACACGGCCGUGACUACGACGGGAGGCAGCAGUGUGGAAUAUUGCACAAUGGGGGAAACCGUGAUGCCACAGAGCCGCGUGAGUGGUGAAGGCCUUCGGGUUGCUAAGCUCUGUCUUUGGGGACGAUAAUGACGGUACCCAAGGAGGAAGCCACGGCUAACUACGUGCCAGCAGCCGCCGUAAUAC
rnacentral:rRNA from 1 species